UACGUAGGGCGCGAGCGUUGUCCGGAAUUAUUGGGCGUAAAGAGCUCGUAGGCGGCUUGUCGCGUCGGAUGUGAAAGCCCGGGGCUUAACUCCGGGUCUGCAUUCGAUACGGGCAGGCUAGAGUUCGGUAGGGGAGAUCGGAAUUCCUGGUGUAGCGGUGAAAUGCGCAGAUAUCAGGAGGAACACCGAUUGCGAAGGCAGCUCGCUGGGACGCGACUGACGCUGAGACGCGAAAGCGUGGGGAGCAAACAGG
rnacentral:rRNA from 1 species